UGAACGCUAGCGGCAGGCCUAACACAUGCAAGUCGAGGGGCAGCGGGUUCUAGCAAUAGAAUGCCGGCGACCGGCGCACGGGUGCGUAACGCGUAUACAAUUUGCCUUAUACUGGGAGAUAGCCCGGAGAAAUUCGGAUUAAUAUCCUAUAAUAAUGUUGGACAGCAUUGUCUGGCAUUUAAAGCUAUGGCGGUAUAAGAUGAGUAUGCGUCUGAUUAGCUAGUUGGUGAGGUAAUGGCUCACCAAGGCUACGAUCAGUAGGGGGCCUGAGAGGGUUAUCCCCCACACUGGUACUGAGACACGGACCAGACUCCUACGGGAGGCAGCAGUGAGGAAUAUUGGUCAAUGGAGGCAACUCUGAACCAGCCAUGCCGCGUGUAGGACGAAUGCCCUAUGGGUUGUAAACUACUUUUAUUAGGGAAGAUAAUGACGGUACCUAAUGAAUAAGCACCGGCUAACUCCGU
rnacentral:rRNA from 1 species